rnacentral:lncRNA from 1 species
GAAGCAAACACCCCAAAUAAUGUAAAAAGAGCUUCUACAGUGAAAAAAAAAAAAAAAAACAGAAGAGGAAACGUCCUCCUUUAAAACACAAAAGCAGCGCCUGGCUCUAGAAUGUGCCACAUCAGGAUGUGUCUGGGUGGAGACCUCAGCAGGCUGGCACCAGGGCUGGACAGAAAAAAUACAGCUGGACCCUACUCCAGCGUGUCACAGAAAGGCCAGUGGCGACGCCUGCCCCACGUUGCCCUUCUAGAUUCUUGCUAUGUUGACCAGGUCUUGAACUUCUGGCUUCAAGUGAUCCUCCUGCCUCGGCCUCCCAAAGCACUGGGAUUACAGAUGUGAGCCACUGUGCCUCGCCCGGAUGUUGAAUAUAUAAUCAGAAAACUACAAUGAGUUUUUUCCAGUUUUUAAAUUUGUGGUAAAUAUGCAUAACAUAAAAUUUUACUACCUUAACUGUGUUUAAUAUAUACAGUUUAGUGCCAUUAAAUAUAUUCAUAGUAUUGUGCAACCAUCA